rnacentral:lncRNA from 1 species
UGAUUAUUACAUAGUAUUAAAUCAGAAAUUAAAAUAUAUAAAUAUAGCAUGAACUACAUGUUGAUCAUAUCAAUAUGUUUCUAUACUACAUCUAAUGUAUGUAUUAAACAAUAGAUCAGAUCUAUUACCUUGCAAGUUAGACAUUCUAACCUUGUUGAUCUAGGCUUGAGAAUGAUGUUACAAGCCACACAUGCAUCCGGCCUCUAGGAGUCAUCCACACGAGCCCACGAAUCUCGAUCAGAAGUCCUGCUUCAGAAAAUCAGCACAAUAUGCUAGUACUGCGCUGAUCCUUCUUUGAUGGUUGAUCAGGUGCCUCCUUCUUCUUGAUUUGAACUCUUCCAAAGAUGGAAAGUAGAAGGAGGAGUUUCAGAUCUGAGACGCUCUUAGAAAACUCAAGAUGGAGGGAGGAAAGAUAUG